rnacentral:rRNA from 1 species
UACGGGGGGAGCAAGCGUUGUUCGGCUUUACUGGGCGUAAAGGGCGCGUAGGCGGCCACCGCAAGUCGACUGUGAAAUCUCCGGGCUUAACCCGGAAAGGUCAGCCGAUACUGCGGGGCUAGAGUGCAGAAGGGGCAACUGGAAUUCUCGGUGUAGCGGUGAAAUGCGUAGAUAUCGAGAGGAACACCUGCGGCGAAGGCGGGUUGCUGGGCUGACACUGACGCUGAUGCGCGAAAGCUAGGGGAGCGAACGGG